UCAGUCAGUGUUGUUGAUCUUGUCUGAAUGGAUGAAAUUAUGAACACAGAGAAGAUCAGAUUUUGAUCCACCAUGAAAGAAUCUGAUCGGUAACAUCAUCAUUUUUCAGGCAAUGAUCCUGAUCUUAAUAGAAAAACACACGAGGGGAGGCCGGUCCGUGACUGAUACCCACACGGCUUCAGCAUUAAUGAUCAUUUCCAUGUAAAUGUGAAGCGAUUCAGACAGUUUCCUCCUGCUCACUGGGACAGGAAGUACAACCCUUUUUAAGACUAGCAGGAAAACCUCGGGCUCGUUUGUGACAGUGUUGCGUUUACUCGCUCCUUCUUCUGACGGAUUUUCUAGUUUAUAAAGUUUCGUUUUACCUCAGCCCUUAAAGAGAUGGUAGAAACAACUUCCGAGCUUAAACUCUGCAUUGUUAGAAGGUUUAACGAGGAUAUCCAGACGACUUAGAAGAAGUAGGACCGGGAGAGGACCAGGCCUCUGCUCUGCUUUAGAAGGUUCCGGAAAACCCCGCCCCCUUCUCUGACGUCACAUUUUCCCGUCCCCGGUGCGGCACUUUUAAAUCUCUUCAGAAUUCCCUGGACCAACCCCUGUGUUACCCGAGUGAUUGGAGUGUGAAGAGGAGCGUGAGGAGUGGAUGGAGUGUGUGUGUGUGUGACUAUCAGCGUCUUUCCCAUUCGUGUGUGGACCCCCGGAGCCCGGCUUUCCCCUCACUUUUGUAAAUAAUCACCUGGUGUAUCAUAAUAAAGACUCUUGUGCUUUCAA